rnacentral:rRNA from 1 species
UACGUAGGGUGCAAGCGUUAAUCGGAAUUACUGGGCGUAAAGCGUGCGCAGGCGGUUUUGUAAGACUGUCGUGAAAUCCCCGGGCUUAACCUGGGAAUGGCGAUGGUGACUGCAAGGCUAGAGUUUGGCAGAGGGGGGUAGAAUUCCACGUGUAGCAGUGAAAUGCGUAGAGAUGUGGAGGAAUACCGAUGGCGAAGGCAGCCCCCUGGGUCAAAACUGACGCUCAUGCACGAAAGCGUGGGGAGCAAACAGG